UUUGAAUGUUCCAAAAUCAGUCAAAGUCUUUCACAUGUACAUUUGUACUUGUAUAAGGUUGAUUUCUAUAUGAUACAGCUGAUAUGUUUGUUUGGUUGAUGUUCAGGGUGUAAUCACAAAUUGAUAGUAGGUAACUGUAAAAAAGUGAAAAGAUAAAGAGGGAUAGUGACAAAUUGAUAGUAGGUAACUGUAAAAAAGUGAAAGAUAAAGAGGGAUAGUGACAAAUUGAUAGUAGGUAACUGUAAAAAAGUGAAAAGAUAAAGAGGGAUAGUGACAAAUUGAUAGUAGGUAACUGUAAAAAAGUGAAAAGAUAGGAGGGAUAGUGACAAAUUUUGUAUGGAAAAAAACUUAUUCACUAUUGUUUAAUUC
rnacentral:lncRNA from 1 species